rnacentral:rRNA from 1 species
ACCCGCUGAAUUUAAGCAUAUAAGUAAGUGGUGGAAAUUAAACCAACUGGGAUCUCUUCAGUAAUUGCGCAUGAACCAGGAUAUGCUUAGCUUGACAAAUGGAGCUGCUGGCUCUGAAUUGUAUUGUGGGAAUGUAUUACCAACAGAGGUGCAGGUGUCAGCCAUUUGAAAGAAAGCAUCAAUGAGGGUGAGAGUCCUGUUUGUCAUGUGCAGCCUUCUGUGCACGGUGUAUAUUUGCUGAGUCACACUCCUCGGCAUUGGAAUGCAAAGUGGGUGGUAAGUUUCAUGCAAAGGUAAAUAUGCAAUUGAGACUGAUAGCGCACAAGUACCAUGAGGGACAUAUGAAAAGGACUUUGAACAGAGAAUUAAAUGAGUUUGUAUUUGCUAAACACAAAGUAAACAGACUUGAUUUCCUCAGUGAGAUUGUAGUGCUUGCUUGACAAUGGGUUUUGGCUGCAAGUGCAAUAAUUCUUGCUUUGUGUGCCAGUUUUUAUGUGGACAUUUGAUUACCUUUGCACAUGAAUGGUAAUUUUCCUGCGGGGUGUGGAUUGCAUAUGCAUGUAAUGAUUUGCAUGUUUGUUAAAUGUGUCUGGUGUAUUUGUUUGUGUCCUUGUCCUUGAGGUUGCUUUCUCCCUUGGGCUUACAUGCCCUGGCACACACAUUCUGGCAAAAUGCUUCUGCUUGACCCGUCUUGAAACACGGUCCAAGG